rnacentral:rRNA from 1 species
CGCUGGCGGCGUGCCUAACACAUGCAAGUCGAACGAGGUCCAUCCUUCGGGAGAAGACCUAGUGGCGAACGGGUGAGUAACACGUGAGGAACCUGCCCCGAAGACCGGGAUAACCCUCCGAAAGGAGAGCUAAUACCGGAUACCCCCACCGAACCGCAUGGUUUGGUGAGGAAAUGGAUUCCGCUUCGGGAGGGCCUCGCGGCCUAUCAGCUAGUUGGUGGGGUAACGGCCACCAAGGCAUCGACGGGUAGCUGGUCUGAGAGGACGAUCAGCCACACUGGGACUGAGACACGGCCCAGACUCCUACGGGAGGCAGCAGUGGGGAAUCUUGCGCAAUGGGCGAAAGCCUGACGCAGCAACGCCGCGUGGGGAUGAAGGCUCUCGGGUUGUAAACCCCUUUCAGCAGGGACGAAUCAAGACGGUACCUGCAGAAGAAGCCCCGGCUAACUACGUG